ACAAUGUUUAACAAUAGGAAAUAUUCAAGAAUAAAUAAAAUAAAAGUUUAAUCCUAACAACACAAAACAUUCCAGGAAUGUAGGUACUACCGUUCUAUUCCGUGAACAUCUAUCUGAUUAAAUUAUGGGUGGAAAGUUACCACAAGAUAUUCUAUGAACAUAGUACAAUGUCUUCCUGGAGGGGUAAAAUUUUCCAUUACAAGAUUUUAAGAGAGGCCAUUUAUUGUACUGUUCAAUUUGCGUUCAUUUUCAAAUUUGCCGCGCGAGUAUCUAUGUAGCGUCUCGUGGUCAUUGGUCAUCACAUUUCAUUUUCAUAACAUAACCGAUAACCUAAAAAUUUAGUAAAGUAAAAAUUUUGAUUGGAAAAAAAUGCAUCGAUAAGGGGGUGUGGGAAAUGGAAAUUAGUGGCUUUUUGCUGUACUGUCUACUAGUUUUUGCUCUGGGCUCUGGCUAGAUCUCUUGUUUAAACAAUUUUAAUCAGCUGAAAGUGGCCUACAAAAAAAACCAAGAAGGAAAUGUAUAGCCUUGUGGCUAUGAAAGGCAAAAGAGAGAUAUAAAAAGUGUAUUGGCUAGUUGGAAGAAAGUCCACAUUGUCCAUGCAUAAUAAGUUAUUACUUUAUCAACAAAUAUCAAGAAGAUAGCAGGGUCACGAGCAUCAACUUCAUGAGUUCAAGAAUAUCGAGGAAAUCCAGCUCCUCGAUACUACUGGGCAAACUAGAAGAUUGAAGAGGACAAAUCCUUUUGAACUAGUUUGAGUGAUAGGUGAUAGUGAAAAACGGAGCAUAGUGCUUGUGUGCUGUGCCUGUGUAUGUUAGAAUAGUGCACGAUCUUGUUAGAUUAGAUAAGAGACGCUAUGGGGUAAGCUCUUCAUUUUAAGAAACAGUAGUAAUUUAGGUUAAAUUAAAAUUGCUCAUUGGUCAAAGUUAUGACCAGAUUGUUUUUUUAUGUUUGGCAAAAAGGACUUAAGUCAGAAUUGCACAUUGAUAAUGUUUUGAUGAUUUCUGGACCAGAAAAAAACUGUUGUAGAUGUAAACUGUAUGUACAGUAGAAUCUACUACAGUACUGUAGAAAUCAUCAAAACAUUAUCGAUGUGCAAUUCUGACUUAAGCCCUUUUUCCCAAACAUCAGAGAAUUGUAAUGUACAAUAAUUCUCCUAUCUGCUUUUUCAUGAAUUUUGUAGGAGACGAAAAACCAUUUUUAGGAUCAUCUGCUUUCACAUGUAAAUUUUGACAUGUUUUGUAGUAAAUAGAUAGUUGAAUUUACUACAAAACAUGUCAAAAAAUAUAUGAAAACAGGAGGUGACUAUAAAAAAAGUUUUUAGUCUCUCUUACAAAACUCAUGAAAAAACAAAUCGGAGGUAUGUCACAUCAGUGACUAAGAAUGUCUAAAAAAUAUACUUUGAUGUCCCAAGAACCAAAUAUAACCUACAGUCCAUCUAAUUUACUUACUGUUGCACGUCAUUAUCUACGCCAGAGAUCUAAGUUGACAUAGUUGCCAAAGUAUAAAAAGAUCCUGAAUCCAUUUUAAAUCAAAUAUGUCACAUAAUUAUUGUAAACGUGGAUUAUACAACAAAACAAAUUAAUAUUCAAUGUAAAUAAGUAAAAACUUAAGAAAUAGAGAACAAGAAUUAUGUUAUAAUCUUUUAAGAUUUGCAGUGCAAGAGUUUUUGCACUGCAUUGUUAAUAAUUAAAAAACGGCUCCGAACUCUUGGCAAAAAGCUGGUAGGUUUCUUUGUAUAAGUAUGUCUACAAUAACAACUAAAAAAGUUGUCAGAUACCUCGAUUAUUCCAAGUCGUUAUAAAAUUAGGUGAAAUUUAUAUUUUUAUAGUAGAGGAUCUUUUUAUAGUAAAGUAAAUAAUAAAAACAGUAAAUAUAAUAAAUAAAACAGAUACUUAUUCGCGGUGUGCAAGUACUUGGAAAGGGAAACGACAAACGACCCUGCGCGAGUCGCGGAGAAAUAUUGCAACUAUCUUAAAUAAUUCAUAUUGUCAAUUGAAAUUGUCAAAUUGACGUAUAUUUCAUACCUUCUGUCAAUGAAGCAGAAAAAAUAUAUAUUGCUCCACAAUAUUGAUAUGAUAUGCAAUUAUUAUAUAAAGGUAAAUUUAAUUAAUUGUAUUUUGCUUGCAGUACUGCAUUUUAAUAACUAAUUUUAUUUACUACAUACAAUUGUUGAUGUUUUCAUAACAUAACCUGAAUCUUAUUUUUUCUUCUUAUUAUUUUUUUGGACUAUGGCCUUGACAAUUAUCCAGUAACCAGGACUAAUAUAAUUGGCCAAUAUAAUUAAAAGUGCGAAUAAUAGUACAGAGCGUAGAAAUAGGGGUCGCUUUGCCGAACUUGCAUGGUCCCAAUAGUAAAGAAUAUAAACAAAUAUGAACUGUCAUCACCGUAACUGUCAAAUAAAUGUUACCAAUUUAUUCUAAAAUGUCACCUUCGUUCGAUUACAGUUACAGUGUGAUCCGAACAAAUCUGCUUCAUAAAAAUGCUUUAUAAUCCAUUUAUACAAAUUAAAUGAAACAUAUUAUUGUGUAUUUCUUUAGGUUAACAUUAAUAGAAAUCUUCAAAUAUUAUUUCUACGCGUAUAUAAUAAAAUAUGUCUAGUGGCUGUAAUUCCAGUGUACUCGGCAAAGUGAUUCUAAAAAAGAACACACCUACCGCCUAAAUAUUUCGUGUUGGUAUCAUGCGAUUUCACAGGCUAUGACGCGGAUGACGCGCAACAGUUAGUAAAUUAGACGAAGUAUGUAGAUAUAUACAGGGUGUAACAAAAAUACAGGUCAUAAAUUUAAUCACAUAUUCUGGGACCAAAAAUAGUUUGAUUGGACCUAACUUACCUUAGUACAAAUGUGCACACAAGAAAAGUUACAGCCCUUUGAAGUUAUAUAUAUAUAAUAGCACCAAGGGUCUUAGAGGCCCAUGGCUUGAAAAGUUUGUUUUUUUUCUUCAUUUUCACGUUUCUUUAUGUACUGAGAUCUUCUCUGGCUUGAUAUGUGAUUUUUCUCCAUUCCUUCCUGUUAUUCAUUUUUCUUUUCUGACCCUGUAGCACCAUUCUUUCCAAAUCUUUUUCGACCUCUUGCUUCCAUCUAUUUUUCGGCCUUCCUCUUCUCUUUCUUGAAGCUGUAGUGUAGUUUAGUACCAUUUUUGGAGUCCUCGUGUUUGGCAUCCUUUCAAUGUGACCUCGCCAUCUAAGUCUCUGUGCCUUUAUCAUUCAUUUGAAGUUACAAGAUGAAGUGAUUUUUUCCAAUAUAUCGAAAACUAUUAGAGAUUUUUUAUUGAAAAUGGACAUGUGGCAUUAUUAUGGCAGCAGUAUCUUACGAAAAAACUAUAGUAAAAUUUGGACACCCCAUAAAAAUUUUAUGGGGGUUUUGUUCCUUUAAACCCCCCCAAACUUUUGUGCACGUUUCAAUUUAAUUAUUAUUGUAGUACCAUUUAAACACAACGUUUUAAAAACUUUUUUGCCACUUAUUGCUUUUUCCAAAAGUCAAUUUUUAUCGAAAUAUUUUGAAUAUUUGUCAAAUCCACCACAUAUUUGUAUAUGGUUAAGUACGAUUAUGGAGACUUGGUAAUAAUAUGCAGACUUAUUUAUGCUUUACAUUUUUAGGGAUAUUUUGAACCAUAUUAAAAAAGAAGCCGGAUCUCGAUAAAAUGUGCCUUAUCGAAAAAAUACAAAGAGGCAAAAAAGUUUUAAAAACAUUCUGUUUAACUAAUGGUACCUCAGUAAUAGUUUAAUUGGAACGUACACAAACAUUUGGGGGGUUUAAAGGAACAAAACCCCCAUAAAAUUUUUAUGUAGACAUGUUAAAAAAGAAGUCGCAACUCGAUAAAAACUGCCUUAUCUGAAAAAUACUAAGAAACAAAAAUAUUGAAUUUAACUAAUGGUACCACAAUAAUAAAAUUGAAUUGGAACAUACACAAAAGUUUGGGAGGAUCUAAGGGAUCAAAACCCCCAUAAAAUUUUUAUGGGGUGCACAAAUUUCACCAUAAUUUUUCUUUAAGAUAUUCCUGCCAUAAUACUGCCACAUGUCCAUUUUCAAUAAAAAAUCGCUAAUAGUUUUCGAUAUAAUCGAAAAAAUCGAUUUUCAUUUUGUAAUUUCAAAGGGCUGUAACUUUUUUUAUGUGCAUAUUUGUACUAAGGUAAGUUAGGUUCAUUCAAACUAUUUUUGGUCCCAGAAUAUGUGAUUUAAUUUAUGACGUGUAUUUUUGUUACACCCUGUAUAUACAGCCGAUUACGCACCACCUUAAAAAUUGGGCAUUUUUGAUGUCUCGAAUUUCCUAAACCUGUUGUUGCAUCUAAGUGAUUUUUUUAUAAUAUUCUAGCCUAGGCUAUAGGUUAAGUACCUUCUUAUGCUUGUCAUGCACGGGGAGCUAUACUGUAAUAUAUAUUAUAUCACAUCGCACUCUAUAGUAAUGAGUGAGCCUGCACAUAUGGAACCAUUUGUUUUCUGUCUGCAGGCUCACUCAUUACUAUAGAGAGCGAUAUGAUAUAAUGUACAUAUAUUACAGCAUAGCUCCCUGUGCAUGACAAGCUUAAGGAGGUAACCUAUAGCCUAGGCUAUAAUAUUAUAAAAAAAUCACUUAGAUGAAACAACAGGUUUAGGAAAUACGAGACAUCAAAAAUACCCCAUAUUUAAGGUGGUGCGUUAAUUUCUUGGAGAAGUGUAUUGUAAUUAAAUGUAAAUAAUGUAAUAUCCAAUAAUUGUAAUUUAAUAUAAGAUGUAAUAUAAGUUCCUUAAAAAAUAUAUUUUUUAUUUCCCACGACAUUAGAUGGAUGUUCGGCAGCAAGACAUUGGACCAAACUGGGACGUCCUAUGAAGGCCCAAUUGACGUCCACCGAACGUCCCUUCGGAUGUUAAGUGGACCUCCAUUGGGCGUUUGGCAACGUGGCAUUUGGACCAAAAUUGGACGUCCUGUUAAGGUCCAAUUCACGUCCCCUAGAACGUCCGGUUAAGGUCCAAUUUACUUCCGAUUAAGGUCCAAUUUACGUCCGAUUAAGGUCCCAUUUACGUCCGAUUAAGGUCCAAUUUACGUCCUAUUAAAGUCCAAUUUACGUCCGGUUAAGGUCCAAUUUACGUCCGAUUAAGGUCCCAUUUACGUCCCAUUAAGGUCCAAUUUACGUCCUAUUAAGGUCCAAUUUACGUCCGAUUAAGGUCCAAUUUACGUCCGAUUAAGGUCCAAUUUAUGUCCGAUUAAGGUCCAAUUUACGUCCGAUUAAGGUCCAAUUUAUGUCCGAUUAAGGUCCAAUUUACGUCCGAUUAAGGUCCAAUUUACGUCCCCUAGGACGUCCGAUCAAGGUCCAAAUUACGUCCGAUUAAGGUCCAAUAUACGUCCCCUCGGACCUUAGAUGGACGUCCAAUGGACGUUCGGUAGCGCGACAUUUGGACCAAAAUAGGACGUAUAAAGGACGUUCCUCGGACAAAAACGGACGUCCAAUGGACGUCCCUAAAGUCCGUGAAGGACGUCCAAUGGACGUCCAUUGGACGUCCUUGUGCUAUUAG